CCGCCUGCCUCAUCCUCCCAUGUGCUGGGAUUAAAGGCUUGUGCCACCACUGCCUGGCCAAACUUUAUCUUCUUAUGCCAUUAUCUCUGCCAGGGAAUGGCCUGCAAUUUUUCAAGAUAACUCUCCUUUACCAAUAACUAGACCAACGCCCAAUGGCUUAUCAGCUCUCUCUUCUACAGAAGAUUCUGAUGCUAGGAAUAUUUGCUCAAAGGCGCAUACAUCCUGCUAUCUAUUAUACUUUUAAUAUGUAUUAUACAUUGUAGUGUGGUUGGUGAGUCAAAAUCAACUGGGUGUCUGUAUCAGACCCUGUCUCAAACACAGGAAAUAAUCAAAAUUGUAUUUGUGAUAGGCUUGCAGACUCCAGGUUUUCUUUCUUUUACAAAUUAAUAUUAAGGUUAAAAUUAGAUUGUAAGUUAAAAGUCACCUUCUUUGUGUGUGUGUGUGUGUGUGUGUGUGACUUGUUCUUUAUUUGUAGUUUUGUGAUUUCCACAUCAGAAAUGGAUUCCAGCGUUCCUGGUAUGUUCUGUUAACUGUGUGAUAGUGAACUAAGUUACUAACUGAAAAAGAUUCCACUUUUGUAAGCACAUGCUAUGUACCUAGGCCUUGAGCUUGACUAUAAAAGCACUCCCUUGCUUUUUAAUAAAUCGAUUUCUCUUUAUUUAUUCAAUUUACAUCCUGCUCACUGCCUUCCUCCCAGUCACCCCCCUCCCUCAAUUCUUCCCCCAGCUCCCCCUCCCCUUCUCCUCUGAGUCGAUGGGCCACCUUGUAUUACCUAGAUUUGGUAAUAUAAUGUGUUUGGUAGGACUCAUGUAGUAUCUUAGUUUUGCAGUUCAAAUUUUUGUUCAGAUUCUUGAUUGCCUGGUAUGUGGACCCCAUAAAUGGGCCAGUCAGACCCUUGUCGAUGGCCUAAAAUUGAUUGCCUCACUGUUCAUUCUUUUCUUUUCUUUUUUUUUUUUUAAGAUUUAUUUAUUAUUAUACAUAAGUACACUGUAGCUGACUUUAGACACACAAGAAGAGGGCAUCAGAUCUCAUUACUGGUGGUUGUGAGCCACCAUGAGGUUGCUGGAAUUUGAACUCAGGACCUUCGGAAGAACAGUUAGUGCUCUUACCUGAUGAGCCAUCUCGCCAACCCUCACUGUUCAUUCUUAAUAUUACAUACUGUCAAAGCAGUGAACUUAUCUACUUCCUUUUGUCCUGACCCUUUCUGGGCUGUGACUACACUACUUUCCUGAACUAGAAUCCUGAGCAUUGAAGGUCUAUACUGUGUGCCUUCAGCACACUCCAACCCUAAGGAGCAUGCUUAUGUCACUCAACAAUCACUGGCCAAUCAGGGCGUCCAGGCAGGCCAAUCAGGAGAAUAGGAGGGUUCUUCUGAGUACUCUCUGCCAUAAUGGAGGUUCAGCUCUAUGCUAACCUGAAAGAGCAGGGGCAUGAACAUUUGAAGCUGGGGAAGUGGGCACUUCCCUUGGUUGGGUGAGAACCAUUUUCCAGAUGUGCUGAGCCAUCUCUCCUGCCCCAAGUUAAACAGUUUAAAAAGUUGCCUUGGAUGAAUGGAUGGAUGGAAGGAUGGAUGGAUGGAUGGAUGGAUGGAUGGAUGGAUGGAUGGAUGGAUGGGUAGAUGGGUGGGUAGAUGGGUGGGUAGGUGGGGCAGAACCUUCAAACAGUCUUAUUCUGAGGUUAGAAAAGAUCAGCAGGCAUGUUCAUAUUAGAACCGUAACUACAGUGCUGUUAGGUGAUGUUUUCUUGAUAUUUUCUGUGUGUUCUCUGUCCUUUAUGUAUGGGAGAGUUGUAGCAUGGAUUUAUUUUUUAAAACUCUUUUCUAGAUCUUACAUUAUGGACUAGAAGAUAGUUUUGCUCUGUAAAUCUCCAUUAGCCUCAGUGACUAAAAUUGCAAGGUCCUGUCCCCUAUUAAAUUGUUCAAAGUAUAACCUGGGGGGUGAACCUAAAAGGACUUAUUGAUGACACCAUAUGUGGAAUUCAUGCUGUUUCCUAGGCUGGGUCUUCUUUGGGCAUCAGCCAGAGCUGAAUAAGUGAUCUCUCCCUGGGAAAGAUGUUAAUUCCACACCAGCUGUACCUGCAGGCUUUAAAUAAUGUUUCUGAGACAAGCUUUCCUAUGUCGAGUCAGGUAGCAUUCAUUCCACUCUGUAUUUCCCAGGACAAUGACAUUGGCUUCUAUUGACUAAACCAACUAAAUACUUAAGUCUAAAUCACUACCACCACCAUGUUUUUAAAUUACUUGCUGAGUCAUGUAUGUAAUCAACUUUUUUAUUACAGUAAGAGGAACAGGAUUUGCAUGAAGGGCAUGGCUUCUGCAUUCACACCAGAAGAGAAGAGAGUUUUUUGCGAUCCCUACUGGGGAAACAGGGUAGGCAAUCAGCUGCUGGAGUUGCCAUUAUGAACAAGACCUGAUUAUGGCAGGGAGGUGAUUUUUAAUUUUGGAUCAUGUAUUAAUCAUGUUCUGUGAUGAAGA
rnacentral:lncRNA from 1 species